rnacentral:rRNA from 1 species
CCCUUAGAUGUUCUGGGCCGCACGCGUGCUACACUGAGUGGAUCAGCGGGUCAGGUUACGCGAGAGCGUUUCCUAAUCUUCAAAUCCGCUCGUGAUGGGGAUUGACGGUUGCAAUUUUCCGUCAUGAACGAGGAAUACCUUGUAAGCGCGGGUCAUCAUCCCGCGCUGAAUACGUCCCUGCCCUUUGUACACACCGCCCGUCGCUCCUACCGAUUGAGUGGUCCGGUGAGGCUUUGGGAUCUAGGCGAAAAGAGCGUUUCGCUCCUUUUGCUGGGAGAACUCAGUCGAACCUUAUCAUUUAGAGGAAGGAGAAGUCGUAACA